rnacentral:rRNA from 1 species
AUGAAGGAUCUAGGAGUAGCUGAUGUUAUCUUAAACAUCAAGUUGUUGAGAGAUGAGAAUGGUGGGAUCACACUGCUUUACUCUCAUCAUGUGGAAAAGGUCUUGAGUCAUUUUGGGUAUAGCGACUGCACGCCUUCUCCAACUCCAUAUGAUGCUAGUGUGUUGCUUCGAAAGAAUCGACGGAUUGCUAGAGAUCAACUGAGGUAUUCUCAGAUUAUUGGCUCGCUUAUGUAUUUGGCGAGUGCCACGAGGCCUGACAUCCCUUUUGCUGUGAGCAAGCUGAGUCAGUUUGUGUCAAAACCGGGAGAUGAUCAUUGGCAUGCGCUUGAGAGAGUUAUGCACUAUUUAAAAGGCACCGCGAGCUAUGGGAUUCACUACACCGGGUAUCCAAGGGUACUGGAGGAUUAUAGUGACUCAAACUGGAUAUCUGAUGCUGAUGAGAUUAAGGCCACAAGUGGUUAUGUUUUUACACUUGAUGGUGGCGCUGUUUCCUGGAAGUCUUGCAAGCAGACCAUCUUAACGAGGUCAACUAUGGAAGCAGAACUCACAACAUUAGACACUGCACUGUUGAAGCAGAGUGGCUUCAUGAGCUCUUGA